rnacentral:rRNA from 1 species
GACGAACGCUGGCGGCGUGCUUAACACAUGCAAGUGGAGCGACGAACCGGGGCUUGCCCCGGGGCAGAGCCGCGAACGGGUGAGUAACACGUGGGUAACCCACCCCGAUGACCGGGACAACCCGAGGAAACUCGGGCUAAUACCGGAUGUGCUCCUUGAUCUUGAGAUCAAGGCGUAAAGAUAGCUUCGGCCUUCGCAUCGGGACGGGCCCGCGGCCCAUUAGCUUGUUGGUGGGGUAAAGGCCUACCAAGGCGACGAUGGGUAGCUGGUCUGAGAGGACGAUCAGCCACACUGGGACUGAGACACGGCCCAGACUCCUACGGGAGGCAGCAGUGGGGAAUCUUGCACAAUGCGCGAAAGCGUGAUGCAGCAACGCCGCGUGGGGGAAGAAGGCCUUCGGGUUGUAAACCCCUUUCAGUUGGGACGAAGCUUCGCCGGUGAAUAGCCGGCUGGAGUGACGGUACCUUCACAAGAAGCCCCGGCUAACUACGUGCCAGCCGCCGCAGUAA